UCUAUGGACCAUUUGGGAGGCCAGGAAUAAAGUGAUUUUCAAAGGAGUGGAUAUGUGCUCGAGUUUUGCAGUUGAUAUUUAAUUAAGCGUAGGGCGUUUAGAUGGGGAUUUUCUCAUAAUUUAUAUCAGAUGACAGAUGGUGCUAACAGUCACAAAUGGGCAUUGGAACCAUGGCUUUGUUUCUAGUUUGGUGGAGUUCUUCUAAGGUUGGAAUCUUGUUUUUGGGUCUGUUUUUAAUGUUUAUAGUUGUAUUAAUUUCCUCAUGUAUAAUGUAACAUGUAGACCUGAAGUUACUCUUUUAUAUACACAAUAUUUUAGAACAAAAUUUGCUUACUUUAACACUACAACAAUGCGCAAAUAGUAAUGGAAGGAGUUUAUUUAUCAUUUUACUCUACAUAGAUUAAUUAAUGAGUUUGGCUUUUAGAUAAUAAAACAGUGUAGAAUGUGGUUGAGUUAUGUGGGAUUUUAAUGCAGUAGUAAAAAAUUACUAGUAAUUAACUAAGGUUGUUGGGAGAUCUACAUACCUAUAUACUACUCCUAUGUAGAUAGGUUUGUAACUUUUAUGUUGAAUUUCAAAUGUAGUAUCACUGGAAUAUUAGGGGUUUUAACAGAUGAUACUUGAGUUUCAUUACUACACGUGUACUGAUCAUUUGAUGUUAGUAUAAACAGUAAAUCUGGGAUCAUUUAUAAAGUGAACUUCCUGUAAAAUGAACUUCAUACUUAAUACAGUGCUGACACACAGACGAGAAAAUGAUCUCUCCACCUGCGUAUUAAAACUAUACUCCCUAGUAGACAUGAAAUGAACUUAUGAUGAAGUUUAUUUCAUGUUAACCACUCCCAUAAAUCUGAUAACUUUGGGUGAUGGAAUCAUUUUCCAAAGCAUAUAAUAAUUAUAUACUUACUCCACUACUAACUACUCCUCAUAUCAUUCUUCUGUCAUCAGUGCAAAUAUAACAUCACAUCAUGAAAAAACAUAAAGAAAAGAAGCCCUAAACAGGAAGAGUACCCCCUCUUAGGUUAGAAACGUGUAAAUGACCAAAAUAUUCAUGGUAAAAAGAAUAAUGUAAAUGGAUAAAUGUGAUAUAAAAU
rnacentral:lncRNA from 1 species